AGCGAACGCUGGCGGCAGGCCUAACACAUGCAAGUCGAACGAACUCUUCGUAGUUAGUGGCGCUCGGGGGUGGAGCGUGUGGGACGGUGGCGUUAGGCACGGGAUUAUACAGUGAAACUUGUGCUAACAUAGAAAGUGCCCUUCGGGGGCAAGAUUCAUCGCCCUUGGAGGGGCCCGCGUCCGUCUAGCCAGGUGGUGAUGUAAAGGCUCACCAAGGCGACGAUCAGUAGCUGGUCUGAGAGGAAGAUAAGCCACACUGGGAGUGAGACACGGCCCAAACUCCUGCGGAAGGCAGCAGUGGGGAAUCUUGCGCUAUGGGCGAAAGCCUGACGCAGCCAGGCCGGGUAAGUGAUGUUGGUGUGAGGAAUGUGAAAUUCUUUCACCGGGGACGAUAAUGACGGUACCCGAAGAAGAAGCCCCGGCUAACUUCGUG
rnacentral:rRNA from 1 species